GAUGAACGCUGGCGGCGUGCCUAAUACAUGCAAGUCGAGCGAACAGACGAGGAGCUUGCUCCUCUGACGUUAGCGGCGGACGGGUGAGUAACACGUGGAUAACCUACCUAUAAGACUGGGAUAACUUCGGGAAACCGGAGCUAAUACCGGAUAACAUGUUGAACCGCAUGGUUCAACAGUGAAAGACGGUUUUGCUGUCACUUAUAGAUGGAUCCGCGUCGCAUUAGCUAGUUGGUAAGGUAACGGCUUACCAAGGCAACGAUGCGUAGCCGACCUGAGAGGGGGAUCGGCCAACCGGGAACGGAGAACCGGUCCAAACUCCAAGGGGGGGCAGAGGAGGGGAACUUUCCGCAAGGGGCGAAAGCCUGGCGGAGCAACGCCGGGGGGGUGAAGAAGGUCUUCGGAUCGUAAAACGCUUUUAUGAGGGAAAAAAAAAUGGGAAAGUAACGUGGCAGGUCUGGCCGGUACCAAAACAGAAAGCCACGGUUAAUUACGU
rnacentral:rRNA from 1 species